GCGCUGGCUUCGCGUCGGUGGGCGAUGUCCCGCGGAGCCUCGCGGCUCUCGCGCGGGCACGCUACCGUGCGUCGAUGUCCGGCGCUCGUCGUCGUGCACUUUCUCCCCAAGUAGAACGUCGCGACCCGNUGGGUGUCGGUCUACGGCCCGGGUGCGGUGACUGUCGCGUCGCCGGUAAAACGGCACGCGACAAACCCCCGGUCGCCCGGCCGGCUGCUCGGCGGUACGCGCAAGGUAUCAGGCCGCACUGUUUACGGUGCGUCGAGGCCGUCGCAAGCGCGCGCCACGGUACUCGGAGGUUACGGACUUUGCGCCGUCCCCGGUCCUGGCCCGCUGUUGGUUAAAGUACGGAUCACCUUCGACAGGCCUGUCGAACGUCCCCCUCCCUCUCUUGCGAGUGUCGANNNNNAUCUAUACCGGUCGGCGACGCUAC
rnacentral:rRNA from 1 species